rnacentral:rRNA from 1 species
AACGAACGCUGGCGGCAGGCCUAACACAUGCAAGUCGAACGGACCCUUCGGUGUUAGUGGCGCACGGGUGAGUAACACGUGGGAAUAUGCCCUUAGGUACGGGACAACAGCUGGAAACGGCUGCUAAUACCGUAUGAUAUCGAGAGAUCAAAGAUUUAUCGCCUAAGGAUUAGCCCGCGUUAGAUUAGGUAGUUGGUGGGGUAAGAGCCUACCAAGCCUACGAUCUAUAGCUGGUCUCAGAGGAUGAUCAGCCACACUGGAACUGAGACACGGUCCAGACUCCUACGGGAGGCAGCAGUGAGGAAUAUUGGACAAUGGGCGAAAGCCUGAUCCAGCCAUGCCGCGUGAAUGAUGAAGGCCUUAGGGUUGUAAAGUUCUUUUAGUAGUGAAGAUGAUGACGGUAACCGGAGAGGAAGCCCCGGCUAACUUCGUGCCAGCAGCCGCAGUAACAC